UUGAACGCUGGCGGCAGGCCUAACACAUGCAAGUCGAACGGUAACAGGAAGAAGCUUGCUUCUUUGCUGACGAGUGGCGGCCGGGUGAGUAAUGUCUGGGAACCUGCCUGAUGGAGGGGGAUAACUACUGGAAACGGUAGCUAAUACCGCAUAAUGUCGCAAGACCAAAGAGGGGGACCUUCGGGCCUCUUGCCAUCGGAUGUGCCCAGAUGGGAUUAGCUAGUAGGUGGGGUAACGGCUCACCUAGGCGACGAUCCCUAGCUGGUCUGAGAGGAUGACCAGCCACACUGGAACUGAGACACGGUCCAGACUCCUACGGGAGGCAGCAGUGGGGAAUAUUGCACAAUGGGCGCAAGCCUGAUGCAGCUAUGCCGCGUGUAUGAAGAAGGCCUUCGGGUUGUAAAGUACUUUCAGCGGGGAGGAAGGGAGUAAAGUUAAUACCUUUGCUCAUUGACGUUACCCGCAGAAGAAGCACCGGCUAACUCCGUG
rnacentral:rRNA from 1 species